CCUCUGAGUAAACUGGACCGCAUAAAUGUCACCUAUCUAACUGGAAUGAAAAUGGUGGUGGGACACACUCCAUAUGUGCGGCUUGUAUUUGGCUUCCUAUUUGCUUCACUAGCCUUCCAGAUGGCUCAGGGGAAUUUUGCCCUUUUCUGUACUCACGCAGCGAAUAUGGGAGCAUAUUUCCAGCAUCUUGUUCUUAUAUUACUGACAUCAGCUACAAUAUCCAUCCCAAUGUGGCAGACACUUCUG